UUUUUAACUUCUUAUUCUUGCAUGGUUUGGUCAUUUAGAGCAUCAUUUUGGCACAUUUAGGUUGCAUAUCAUUGCAUUUGUACAUAUCAGGUGUUGGAGAGCACCAUGGAUGAGUUAGAGGACCAUUGGAGGGAUUUUGAGUCCAAAGAAUGAAGAUGAGUCGUUGAAGGUUCCUAGCGGCCAGGCGUAGCAGCAAAAGAUGGUCGCUACAGAAGAUAGAGCUGAGGCGCCUAAGUACCGUAGCGGGAGUGUGUAGCGGGUUAGAGAGACCGCUAGAGUUGAAGCGCCUUCUAUAGCGGUCUGCCGUAGCGGCAUCAUAAGGUCGCUAUGCGUUCAGGACUUCAAGCGCCUUCUACAGCGGCCAGCCAUAGCGACUUCAUGAGGUCGCUAUGAGUUCAAGAAUGCGGAAAAAAAUCGUCUAAGUAUCCUAGCGGCCACACGUAGCGGGCAAGUCAUGUCGCUACAGGCGUAGCGACCUCUGGUAGCGACCUUUUAUGGUCACUACGGAGAAAAAUAUCUAUGUUUUUAUGGGUCAACCCAGGCUUGUUGGGUUAACCCAGCUCGAGUUUUAGUCUUCUAUAACUACUUUUCAGACAAAAAUUUGGGAUCUAUCUAGUUUUUUAUGAAGAACACAAGAACUCUUUAGAGAGAAAACUUGAAUCUUUAGUUUCUUUUCUUCUUAUUCUCUUGAAUUUGCUUGACUAUCUUGAUUACUAAUCAUGAUUAACACCAAAUCCUCUUUGAUUCUUGGGUUUAUCAUGAAGAGUAGUGAGUAGUUUCCUUAAGAAUUUAUGGGUUAGGGAGAUUAGAGUAACUUAGUGAAGAUCUUGGUGUUAUUGUAUUAGAUCCUUGUAUAAACUUGCUUGUUGAGUAUUUUUAAUGCUUGUUUAGUCUUGAUCACUCUAAACCUGAUUUCUAAACACUUAUCAUCAGACAUGAU
rnacentral:lncRNA from 1 species